AUAAAGAGCUUGUUUAAUAUUUUUAAAAUUUAGUGUAUAGGAAAAAUAAUUUAAUAAUUAACAUUGUUAGUAAUUUUGAAUAAAUUCAUUUCAUAAGACUAUAGCUUAGAGUACUGUAAAGGAAAGCGACUAAUAUUUAAAAUAGUAAGUUUGAAGUGCUGUACCUUGUGUAUCAGGGAAAAUUUAUAUAAAUUAAAAAAAUAAAAAUCUCGAAAUAAAAUAUAGCUAAUCUUAUAAAAAAUUUUUUGUAGAAAAUAAAUUUUCAAUAUAAGAUUAAAGGUGAAAUGCCAACUGAGUUUUAUGAUAUCUAGUUUUUUAAAAAUAAAUUUAAUUUAAUUUUUAUAUUAAUUAGAUAUAAAAUUUAAGUGUAGGAGGGAUUAGCUUCUUAUAUAAAAAUAGAAUAAAGAGUUAAAAUAAUGGAAAAUUAGUGAAUUAAGCUUAAAAGUAGCUAUAUUAAUAAAGUGUUCUAGCUAAAUUAAAUUAAAAUAACAUUUAUAAAAACUUUUUAAAGUAUUAAAAAAUUAAUUUAAAUAUAAAUAGUUGAGUUAUAAUGAUUUUAUUAGUAAAAAUUUGUUAUAAAGUAAAAUAAUAAAAUAAUAAAAAUCUUUUAAAAUUAAAAAGACAAUAUAGAGGAAUUCGGCAACAAUAUUUUUUGCCUGUUUAUCAAAAACAUGUCUGUUUGGAGAUAUAAAAAGUUUAACCUGCCCACUGAUAAAAAUAAUUUAAAUGGCCGCGGUAUUUUGACCGUGCAAAGGUAGCAUAAUCGUUAGUUUUUUAAUUGGAAUCUUGUAUGAAUGGUUGGACAAAAAAAAAUCUGUCUUUAUAUUGUUUAUUGAAUUUAACUUUUAAGUGAAAAGGCUUAAAUAAAUUAAAGGGACGAUAAGACCCUAUAAAGCUUAAUAUUAAUAUUUUACUUAGUUAAAUUUUCUUGUUUAUAAAAACUUAGUAAUUGAAUUUAUUUUAUUGGGGCGAUAAAGGUAAAAUGACUACUAACUGCUUAAUUUUUUAUACAUUUAUAAAUGAAUUAGGAAAUAAAUGAUCCUUAAUAUAAAGAUUAAAAGUUUAAGUUACUUUAGGGAUAACAGCGUUAUUUUUCUUAAGAGUACAUAUCGAAAGAAAAUUUUGCGACCUCGAUGUUGAAUUAAAAUACCUU
rnacentral:rRNA from 1 species